rnacentral:tRNA from 1 species
GCCUCACUAGCUCAGCUGGCAGAGCAACCGCCUUGUAAGCGGUCGGUCACGGGUUCAAAUCCUGUGUGAGGCU